CUCACCAUCAUUCAAUCAAUUGCUCGCACCUAAUUUUCCUCGAUUACAAUCUACAAUUCUACAUCUCUCUCUAAAUUCAUCCAUUUCACUUCUCUUUGACAAAUCACACCAAACAAUUUCUAAUCUCCGGCAUCAAAUUACUUUUUUCCGAAUUCCAGAGUUAUAGAAAAGAAAUUGAAGAUUUUUUCGACUGACACCAAGUUGGAUCUUCCAUAAAUUUGGAGAUUUUGGGGUUCAGCUGAAUUUAGUGAACCCCGUUGGACACUACACUGGACAGAAAUGAAGAGAUAUGUUUAUAUCAAUGAUGAUGAAUCCAUGCGUGAACUUUUUUAUGACAAUUGCAUAUCGAACAGGAAAUAUACAGUGCUUAAUUUCCUUCCGAAGAAUUUAUGGGAACAGUUCAGGUUGCAUACACACAGAUUCAACAAUAUGUGAGUUCGAUGAAGUGCAAGGAGGAGGAUGUCCUGACUUAAAUGAAUGUGGAAAUACAUGCAAAAGAUGUUUCACAGGAGCUGGGAAUGUCAUUGGAGCUUGUCUUUCAAAAGGGAGUGGCCAAAUUGAAGAUUAUUGCAGAUGUUAUUUUAUAGAUGGUGCACCUUGCAUUCCUGGCUGUGCAACUCACCCACCCUCGUUUCCACACUACGAUAAUAAUGUUUCAGCGUCCUCUGUUACUCAUCAUUCUCCUCCCAAUUGACCCCAUAAACUUAGAGUUGAGUCUUAAUGUGAUAAGAUAAUAUUUUGUUAUGUACGACUCAUUUUGUGAGAUCUAGUGUACUAUGUACGCAUAUUA